UCAAAGAAAGCAGCUCCUGCUGCAAAGAAGGCUGCUCCUGUAGCAAAGAAAGCAGCUCCUGCAGCAAAGAAAGCGGCUCCUGUUGCAAAGAAAGCUGCUCCUGCAGCAAAGAAAGCGGCUCCUGCUGCCAAGAAAGCUGUUGUUAGCGAAGUAGAAAGAAAGCUGCGCCGCACCGAAGAAAAGCUGCGCCUGCAGUGAAGAAAGCUGCGCCUGCCAACGAAGAAAGCUGCGCCUGCAGCGAAGAAAGUGGCUCCGGCAGCAAAGAAAGCUGCUACUGCUGCGAAGAAAGCUGCUCCAGCAGCAAAAGAAAAGUGUUCCAGUAGAGACUAAGCUACGAGAAGUAAAAUUGUGACUGAAGUUGCAGCCAAAAAACCUGCACCAGUUAAAGCAAAAAGCCAAACCGGAACCACCGAAGAAGAAGGUGCCUGUUGCUGUAGUCAAACCAAUCAAAGCGAAGCCAGAAGCCGUAUCAAGUUCCAAGAAACCAGCUGCAAAGGCAGCCGCUAAAUUGAAGCCCGCGAAAGCUGUAGAAGCUCCUGCUCCUGCCCCAAGGGUUGUAAGGAAACCUACACUAAAAGCAACAUUAGUUGUGUACGUAUUUAUUCCUGGAAUCAAAUCUCUUUCUUUGUUGCCCGGACAUAUUUUUCAAGUCUAUUCGUACAUGUUCCUGCCAGACAUAGCUGCUGUGCUGAGGGAAAACGCCGUAUGAGCCUUCAGACGUUGCCAUUUUCCAUUUAAUAAAAAAUGAAUUCACUCGGAAAAUUUUUGAUAUUUUUCUUCAAAUUUUUCAGACUAUUUUGCUUGCACCUUAAUCUGAAAUAUUUGAAAAUUUGAAAGGAAAAAUAUGCAUAACUUCCUAGAAAUUCAUAUUUAUGGGGGAAAUUUGCCAACUCUCGAAUGUUCAUACAGUUUUUUUCCUUAGCACGGCAGAAGAAAGCAUGCUACAGCAUGCCUUCUUCCUUUGCUGCAUUACAAUGCAGCAAAAUGUAAAGGCUGUAAACUGCUAUCAGCUGUGAUCUUUGUGACGCUAGUGCUACCCCUCGGAUGCGACCAUGACUAGAGUUUCUGAAUUAGUCAUGUGGUGAGCCUCUAUUUGGCGGUUUAUAGCUUUUUAACAUGAUGAACGCCUACUGCAAAAGUGAUAGGCUACGGUGACCGUUUUGGUGUCCAUGACUGACGCUUAAAAUGGUCGAUAUGACUGGCUUCUCCUUCGACAUGGCAAGGUUUUUUAGAAGUUCACGAACGUAUCUCAUGGAUUUUUAGAGAUGUUCUGCCCUUUAUCCCAGAGGCACUCGUUGCAAAGAGGACAUUAUUUCAGCCUGUUCAUAAGAUUUAAUCAUCCAAAGCUAAUUCCGUAUAAUGCACAGCUGACCACUGCUGGAACACAGUUACUUCAAUUGGACUGCACUUUGCAAUGAGAAACAACAAUUUCUGGCUCAUCUGUAAAAACAUUUAUGUGCAUAGGGGAAUUAAGGGCACAUAUGUUGUUUCCCAAAUGAGCCAGAUAUUUUAGUUCCUAAUUGCAAAAUGUGGUUAAACUGGACCAAGUUUAAUAGUAAGGCACCAAGUUGCAUCGAGUUUGAACCAAGAAAUAGAAGUUCAAAGUUUUACUCCUCCAUGAAAAUCAAGGUCUAGGGCUGAGGUUAGGAAAUAUUUUUCAGGUUCAAAAUUUUUUUCCUCGACUUUGAAUUUUUGAAAGGUAAGAACUUAUGAUCAGUUGAAUUUAAAACUACUCUGGUUCAGUUUUCUCUCCUGAAUGCAUCUAGUGCAUUUUGUCCUUCUCACACCAAGGAACGUACCUCGUCUGCGCUGUUCAGUAUGUGUACAAACAUUUUAUUUUUUUAUUGGAGAACCAUGGCACAAAAUUUUCUGAAAUUUUAGUGUAUUCCUUUGCAAGUGUAAAGAAAAUAUUACCGAAAAUUUCAGGCAAUUCAUGGGAUAAUACUCCUAAA
rnacentral:lncRNA from 1 species